GAAAAGCCUGGUACUGGGGCUUCAUCUCAUUGUAUGGAAGAAUUUGUUGUAGGUUGUGCAUUCGUGGUGCUGUAGUUCAUCGGCAGCUCUACAGUGUUUGCGCCCGAAAGAGAGUUGGUGCCACGGUACCCGUGAGACGAAAGAGCGUUUGUUGACUACGUCUUGAAAGUUGAAGGCUGUGCGGAUUCUGGAGGCAUCCCACAGGAACCUGCAGCACUGCUGCAAGCUGGAGAGCACCAUUAUAAAGCACCUGAUCUGCGUGCUUUUACAAAGCAAGAGGGAUAUCAAGAACACGGGAGAUAUCCAGACCACAUUAUAGUCACUGCUUGUUUGUGGCUU